UCAUAACACCAACACAAAUUCUGCAUUUUUAAGCAUCACACACACCGCCCUCCGCCGGCGACUACCUUCCUCCGUCACAUGUGGCACCCCCUCCUUGUCUCUAUCUGUCUCAACACCUCUCUCUCCAUCUACACACCCACACAUACUUUUCAUCCCUCUGUACAACGUCUGUCUGGCCGCCGCCGUCGACGAACUCCGGCAUCUCUACGAUAUCUUUGGAUGUAAUUCUUCCCGGAGAGAUAACACGGGCAACAAGAAGGCGAAGGAUAAGUGAUUCCUAGUAAGGCAUUUUGGGUUUAAAGGUGGCAGAAAAAGGUGUUUCCAUCGGUGAAUGUGCGUAUGAAUCGUUUAUGUCACUCUACAACAAGAACGGAGAAUUCACAAUUUCACAUACAAGAAGACUAAGAGGUAUAUAAUUUACAGUUUUGAUUUCAAGUGAUGGGAGAAAUUAAUAUUUGAGAACUUUGAAAAUGUCUCUGGUAGGUGUCUGCGUUUUCAUGUUUUGUGUCACGGCCGCAUUUUCUAAGAACAGAAAAACGGUUGAAUCGCGACUAGUGGGGGAUUAAAGAAACGGGAAAGAAAGGGGAAAACAACACAACACCACCAUUGCUCGAAAUAAAUGAGAAUAGCUCGAAUAAAAUCAAAGUAUCAUUUCGACAAUCAACAACUCAAAAUGAAUAUUAUCUCAACAAUACUUGAAAUCAAAAGAAACAACAUUCAGCGGAAGCUUUCGAUAGAAGAAUAAUAUUAUGUAUGAGGACAUAAUAUAUUCAUAACAUUUUAUUUGCCAUCUUCUUCACUUUUAUGCCCAACACCCUCCGCGCUCGUCACAACUCAACCUGCACAUUUUUAUAACAUAUGCAGGGCUGAGUACUUGAUGCACUCUGGGGACUCAUACCGAAAACAUUUUAUAAAAAUUAUUUAUCAUGUCAUAAACGAGUGGCCUUGGGGUUUUUAACUUUGAAAAGGCCCGAGUCACUAAAACAUUUCAACGUACCAUCCAUCAACACCACCAUCGUCACAUACCUUUUUAAAAUAACAUAACAAGCAAGUUAAAUGAUGCGAAUCAAAUUGUACAUUUUUAUUCCCCUAACUUUACAUGAUUUAUAUUGUUUGAUACUUGCAAAAGUAUGUUUUAAGGUGUAGGAAUGAAGCUCGGAUGGUGAAAAAGUUGUGCAAGACUGCCCAAUAUGACAGAAUGCCCAGUUUGCGUCGUGAGUCCAGAAAGCUCUCAAAAUGAGGCACCGGGCCGGGUGUAUUUUAUGCCUAAUAAAAUACCUGGCCGGGUAUGAUGUUAGAACACGAAAUUUCGAGCAAUUCCUCAAAAUUGGUCACCCGGCCGGAUGAAUUUUAUGCCCAAUAAUCCACCCGGCCGGGUGGAUCAAUUAUAACUGCAAUAUUGCAGUUAAAGGUGGCAGGAUUGGCAGGAUUAAAGGAGGGAAGAGAGAGAGAGUGAUGGGACGUUAUUUUUGGGGAGCAGGUGAGAAAAAAAGAAGAGAGGGGAGAAAAGGUGACGACUUGGACGAAAAUUGCAGAGGAAGGAAGGGAGAUCCAAUCUUCAUCAUCCUGGAGGAGAUUUGCUACCAUCUACACAUCAAUUUCAUGAGUUCUUCUUGUUUAUUGGUUGUUGAUGUGUAACUAAAUUCUCACGUUGCUCCUAAUUUGUGAAAGAUGUGAAUUACUUUAGGAUUCUAUGGAUUAAUAAUAUUCUAUGAUCUUUUCUA